rnacentral:rRNA from 1 species
AGUGAACGCUGGCGGUAGGCCUAACACAUGCAAGUCGAACGGCAGCACAGUAAGAGCUUGCUCUUACGGGUGGCGAGUGGCGGACGGGUGAGGAAUACAUCGGAAUCUACUUUUUCGUGGGGGAUAACGUAGGGAAACUUACGCUAAUACCGCAUACGACCUACGGGUGAAAGCAGGGGAUCUUCGGACCUUGCGCGAUUGAAUGAGCCGAUGUCGGAUUGGCUAGUUGGCGGGGUAGAGGCCCACCAAGGCGACGAUCCGUAGCUGGUCUGAGAGGAUGAUCAGCCACACUGGAACUGAGACACGGUCCAGACUCCUACGGGAGGCAGCAGUGGGGAAUAUUGGACAAUGGGCGCAAGCCUGAUCCAGCCAUACCGCGUGGGUGAAGAAGGCCUUCGGGUUGUAAAGCCCUUUUGUUGGGAAAGAAAAGCAGCAGGUUAAUACCCCGCUGUUCUGACGGUACCCAAAGAGUAAGCACCGGCUAACUUCGUG